CCUACGGGAGGCAGCAGUGGGGAAUAUUGGACAAUGGGCGAAAGCCUGAUCCAGCGACGCCGCGUGGGUGAAGAAGGCCUGCGGGUUGUAAAGCCCUUUCGGUUGGGAAGAACAGUGUCGGCCUAACACGUCGGCACCUUGACGUAACCAACAAAAGAAGCACCGGCUAACUCUGUGCCAGCAGCCGCGGUAAU
rnacentral:rRNA from 1 species